UCUGUCGUUCUCAUUGUACCAGGCCAAGGCGAUGAGAGAGGCUGGUAAAGGAGGAAGCUUCAUAACUGUGGACCAUUCCAUCGCCUGGAGGCUAUGGGGGGAGAAAGAGAGGCUUGGCAGGGGUUGAGAAGGCAGGAGGGCCUGAGCGUGUAAUUAAAGCAAGAUCAUCAGCGAGAGAGAGAGAGCACCAUGAACUGCUUUCCGAUUGACAGGGUCCCUACACAGUGUUCACUACUUUCUACUACUUGAAGUUCACUUCGGAACAUUAAUUUGCGGAUUUUCACUGCGCCACUGCCUGUAACAUCAUCACACACAGACUCCAGUAGGGCUUAUUAUAGAAGUUUGAGAUUGUGAUCCCAUUGACAUGCAUUAUACCACUGACGGUUGGAGUUAAAAUUCAUCAUUUGUGUUCUACUGAAGAAACCUACAUCUUGGAUGCCCUGGGGAUAUAAAAAGAACUGGCAGAUUCCCCCCAGCAUCACUAUGGACCACUUGUUGAAGACCCCUGCUCUGUUGUUCUGAUCCCUAGAUGUGUUGAUGCAGAUCGGAGUUGAUUUUUAGCUGAGCUUCUUGCCACUGCUCCAAGAAGUACUGAAAUCAAAGAACUCAGUGAAAGUUAGCAUUGCAUGGAUGGAUCCAAGGCUCCCUGUCAAGACGUCACAAGCACUUGCAGAGCAUGUCGUCACGCACCACUUCAUCUCCACAUCGACAAACGCGUUUGAGCUGUGCGAAGGAAAUAUUUUAAUUAGGCUUGACUCGACCAGCAUAAAUGAGGACUAGUAUACAUCAACGGUGGACACAUCAAUCAGCGAGGUGGAGAAAGGACUGCCCAUGUCAUGCCCUGGAAGUCUGACCGUAUGGUUGGUUAAAAUGUAUUUUAACAUGAUAGUUCUCCUAAAAUGGACAUUCUGUCAUCAGUUACUCACUCUAAUGUCUUUCUAAACACAAAGAUUAUUUUUUGAAGAAUAUCCUGCCUUUUUUCCACAUGAGUAAAAAGUGACAUUUUUGGGCGAACUGUCCUUUUAAAGGGAACCUAUAAUUCCCCUUUUACAAGAUGUAAUAUAAGUCUCUGGUGUCCCCAGAAUGAGUCUGUGAACUUUCUGCCCCAAAUACCCCACAGAUCAUUUAUUAUAGCUUGUCAAA